rnacentral:rRNA from 1 species
CCUACGGGAGGCAGCAGUGAGGAAUAUUGGUCAAUGGGCGAGAGCCUGAACCAGCCAAGUCGCGUGAGGGAGUACUGCCCUAUGGGUUGUAAACCUCUUUUGUCGGGGAGCAAAAGCCGGACGUGUCCGGCUGUGAGAGUACCCGAAGAAAUAGCAUCGGCUAACCCCGUUCCAGCAGACGCGGUAAUACGGAGGAUGCGAGUGUUAUCCGGAUUUAUUGGGUUUAAAGGGUUCGCAGGCGGAUUUUUAAGUCAGCGGUAAAAUCGUGGGGCUCAACCCCAGACAGCCGUUGAAACUGGGGAUCUAGAGUGUGCGAGAGGUAUGCGGAAUGCGUGGUGUAGCGGUGAAAUGCAUAGAUAUCACGCAGAACCCCGAUUGCGAAGGCAGCAUACCGGUGCACAACUGACGCUGAGGCACGAAAGCGUGGGUAUCGAACAGGAUUAGAUACCCCUGUAGUC